rnacentral:rRNA from 1 species
CCAUGGGAUACUUAGUACGGCGAGUGAAGCGGUAAAAGCUCAAAUUUGAAAUCUGGUACUUUCAGUGCCCGAGUUGUAAUUUGUAGAAUUUGUCUUUGAUUAGGUCCUUGUCUAUGUUCCUUGGAACAGGACGUCAUAGAGGGUGAGAAUCCCGUUUGGCGAGGAUACCUUUUCUCUGUAAGACUUUUUCGAAGAGUCGAGUUGUUUGGGAAUGCAGCUCAAAGUGGGUGGUAAAUUCCAUCUAAAGCUAAAUAUUGGCGAGAGACCGAUAGCGAACAAGUACAGUGAUGGAAAGAUGAAAAGAACUUUGAAAAGAGAGUGAAAAAGUACGUGAAAUUGUUGAAAGGGAAGGGCAUUUGAUCAGACAUGGUGUUUUUUGCAUGCACUCGCCUCUCGUGGGCUUGGGCCUCUCAAAAAUUUCACUGGGCCAACAUCAAUUCUGGCAGCAGGAUAAAUCAUUAAGAAUGUAGCUACUUCGGUAGUGUUAUAGCUUUUUGGAAUACUGUUAGCCGGGAUUGAGGACUGCGCUUCGGCAAGGAUGUUGGCAUAAUGGUUAAAUGCCGCCCGUCUUGAAA